ACUCCUGCGGGAGGCAGCAGUGGGGAAUUUUGGACAAUGGGCGAAAGCCUGAUCCAGCAAUGCCGCGUGUGUGAAGAAGGCCUUCGGGUUGUAAAGCACUUUUGUCCGGAAAGAAAUCCUUGGCUCUAAUACAGUCGGGGGAUGACGGUACCGGAAGAAUAAGCACCGGCUAACUACGUGCCAGCAGCCGCGGUAAUACGUAGGGUGCGAGCGUUAAUCGGAAUUACUGGGCGUAAAGCGUGCGCAGGCGGUUUGCUAAGACCGAUGUGAAAUCCCCGGGCUCAACCUGGGAACUGCAUUGGUGACUGGCAGGCUAGAGUAUGGCAGAGGGGGGUAGAAUUCCACGUGUAGCAGUGAAAUGCGUAGAGAUGUGGAGGAAUACCGAUGGCGAAGGCAGCCCCCUGGGCCAAUACUGACGCUCAUGCACGAAAGCGUGGGGAGCAAACAGGAUUAGAAACCCCGGUAGUCCC
rnacentral:rRNA from 1 species